UUACAGGCGUGUGACACCACACCUGGCUAUUAUUUAUCUUUCUAAUGUUUCUUUCUGCAAAACUAAGCAUAGAGGUACUAUAAAGUAGUUGUUUUUUUUUUUUUUUUACUACUUUUUUCUUUGAGGGAGGGUAUCAUUACAUAGUUCAGGCUGGCCUUGACCUUACUCUGAGGCAGUGUCCUCUGGCUCUGCUGCCUGAGGAUGAGGGUAGGGCAGGGCUGCUGUGCAGGCACCUUGGGUUGGCCUCUGAUGGACUCAGGUUGGCUUGGUACAUUAACCAUGGCGUGGCCCCUUUAGUGCAAAAGCAGCUUAGCAGCAAGUGGGUAGGCUGGGAGCUGCGUGGGUAGCUUGCCCAGGGGUCUCAAUUUCAGAGGCAACAGGAGGUCUCCCAAAUGUCUCAGAAAUACCCAGCUGCUGUACAGCAUUGCAUUCUGCAGAUCCAUUCCUCGAGGCUUCUGCAGACUCUUGAGUGCUUCCCACAUGCUGUGGUUUCAGCAUGUCCCGAAGUCCGUGUUGUGGACCCUCACUCCCUAGGUUUGCUUACUGGCAGUGUCUGAGGGUGGGCAUUCACGCGGAGGAAGAGAGCCCUGGACCUGCACACUUGCUGUCAGCCUGUGCCAUCGUCUGCCGCACUGUGGAGCGGGGGACAGUGCCAUGCUCCUGGACAUCCCAGCCUCCAGAACCGUGAGCCAAGCAAACUUUAUAAAUUUCUUGGUCUGAGGUAUUUUUUUUUUUUAAAUUUUAGGUAUCUUGUUAUACAACAAAAUAUGUUGCACCAAGCUAGACGCUGUGAGGAGUUCAGAGCAGUCACAUCCCCAGUCAGGCAGCUCCAGAAGCCUAUUUUUGAGCCUCUGCAAGUCUCUGUCAGCACCCCGCUGCGGUCAGGGAGGGACCCCAUCAGCAGGCUGCAGAGCCAGGCGGAGACCGGGAGAAGGCAAGGCUGCGUAGGUCCCCAGGAGACAUGGAAGGGCCGCUGGGCAGCCGUGUCAGGUGGGAUGGUCUCUGUCUCUCGGCUUCUGGACUCAGAUGGUCUGGGUCCGCUGGUGUCCUUAUUGAUAGCACGGAACCCAUCCCCACCCCUACCCAUUGUUUUUCGUGGAUUCUAUUUGCCCCCAGUUCACAGGGAACAAGGAGUCCUUUAUGUGCUGACAGCUGUGUCUCUUCGCAGAGAAGCUGUGACCCCAGGCUGAAGGCAGCCCAUGGUGUGUAUAGCCUAGAGCUCCAGCUCUGGGGGGACUUGGUCAAGAACUGUCCCUGUGCCUCCCUCUCGCCUUGGUGAGCAUCUGAGCUUCUAGGGGCAAAAUAAAGAUGCCAGAAGAGGUUGACACAAACUCCCUGAUCAUCUAUCAGGGCUCUUGGAACAUCUGCUGAACCUCUCCGGGCUGUAAGUGUGGUCAGCAACUUGCAAGGUUGUCAUGAAGAGACACUUUCUGCGCAGUGGCCAGUGCCAACGAGGUGCCCGAUAAAGUUGGCUGCUUCAGCUCCUCAUCCCCUCACUUAUCAGGCAUCUGAGCGGCUCCUGCAUACCUGGCCCGCAUGCCUCGUCUCUGGGUGAUUCGCAGGCCCUGGACCCCGGCUCUUCAGCCACUCCACCCUUGGGCGGGGCGGUGCAGCGGGGAUCACACUGUAAAAGCGCGGCAUGACCUCUUGCCUUCCUGGAGAGGCCGCAUCCACAAAGGGCACAGAGGCCAGGACAGCACAGGAAAGGCAGGGGACAGCAGACGUCCCGGGCAGCCCCGUGUCGUGCAGCGAGCACACGGGCUGCAGAAGAGCCGGGAAAGGGUGGCUCCCGGGCCCCCAGCAUAGAGCGCCGUCGCCCCUGCCACCGAGGUGCCGCUUAAGCCAGGGCAGCUGGGUCUCCAUGUCCACACAAGAACACAGGCCUGCCCCACCCCUCGGAAUGCCUGCCUGUCACACAGCCAGUGCCAGCUGGUGUGCCCCGUGAGUACCUGGGCUCCUGGGGCACCAGUGCCAGGUGGGGAGGAACAGGAGUGAUGGCUCAGGGACAGGGGUCAAAGUGCACAUGUUUAUUUUCUAGAACAAAGGCUAAAAGAAGCAAGUUUCUUCCAUUUUAUUUUAAGAAGGACAAAAGUUGUUAUUAAAACAUCUACAUUAUUAUCAAGAUACUAGACCUUAUGAUAUUUAAUAUUAAAGUGUGGUAUUCUUAAAGUUUUAAUACACAGACAUUUUAAAAGGACCAUUAAAUUGAUUACUGUCCAGCUGUGAAAUGCAGCAUCCCCUCGGCCCACCCCAGCCCAGCUGUGCCAUCUUGUCCCCGCCCACCCGCUGGGGUGGGCGCAGGCCCUAGACCCCACUCUGAAUCUCCCAGCCAGGGACCUGGAGAGGGGUCACAGCUGACACAGUCCACCUCGUCAUUAACAGAGCUCUCUUGUCCCCCACUCUCCCCGCUCCCUCUGUCCGCUCUCCUCCCGACACCAUGGGGAGCCAGCUCUGGCGAGGCCAGGGAGCCCCAGAUCCCAAAGGCCUAGGCGGUAACAGCUCAAGAUGAAAACUCUGGACUCCCGUCCUGUUCUUGGGGGACAGACAGAUCAUUCCCUUUCCCUGAGCCCUCUGGUUCUCCCUGCUAGACAGGGCUGGUCCAGGAAACCAGCAGGCAGCAGAGCGCCCAGAUCACU